CUGUGGAGAUAUAGUCUGGAGUCUUGCUUUUGGGUCAUCAGUUCCAGAAAAACAGAGUCGCUGUGUAAAUAUAGAAUGGCAUCGCUUCAGAUUUGGACAAGAUCAGCUACUUCUUGCUACAGGGUUGAACAAUGGGCGUAUCAAAAUAUGGGAUGUAUAUACAGGAAAACUCCUCCUUAACUUGGUAGAUCAUACUGAAGUGGUCAGAGAUUUAACUUUUGCUCCAGAUGGAAGCUUGAUCCUGGUGUCAGCUUCAAGAGACAAAACUCUCAGAGUAUGGGACCUGAAAGAUGAUGGAAACAUGAUGAAAGUAUUGAGGGGGCAUCAGAAUUGGGUGUACAGCUGUGCAUUCUCUCCUGACUCUUCUAUGCUGUGUUCAGUCGGAGCCAGUAAAGCAGUGGUGGCAGCAAUAUUGGUGUGAUUGAGGUUAUGCUGGCACCACUCGCACACAGGCGCACAAUGGUGUUAGCUGGGCAGAAAGAGUGGCAUCUCUGGCUACCGGGCUGGGGGCGACCUUUACCAUAGGAUGAAGUAACCUUGCAUUCGGCUGCAAGGUGUACUGUACGUACACAGGUUUUCCUUUGGAAUAUGGAUAAAUACACCAUGAUACGGAAACUAGAAGGACAUCACCAUGAUGUGGUAGCUUGUGACUUUUCUCCUGAUGGAGCAUUACUGGCUACUGCAUCUUAUGAUACUCGAGUAUAUAUCUGGGAUCCACAUAAUGGAGACAUUCUGAUGGAAUUUGGGCACCUGUUUCCCCCACCUACUCCAAUAUUUGCUGGAGGAGCAAAUGACCGGUGGGUACGAUCUGUAUCUUUUAGCCAUGAUGGACUGCAUGUUGCAAGCCUUGCUGAUGAUAAAAUGGUGAGGUUCUGGAGAAUUGAUGAGGAUUAUCCAGUGCAAGUUGCACCUUUGAGCAAUGGUCUUUGCUGUGCCUUCUCUACUGAUGGCAGUGUUUUAGCUGCUGGGACACAUGACGGAAGUGUGUAUUUUUGGGCCACUCCACGGCAGGUCCCUAGCCUGCAACAUUUAUGUCGCAUGUCAAUCCGAAGAGUGAUGCCCACCCAAGAAGUUCAGGAGCUGCCGAUUCCUUCCAAGCUUUUGGAGUUUCUCUCGUAUCGUAUUUAGAAGAUUCUGCCUUCCCUAGUAGUAGGGACUGACAGAAUACACUUAACACAAACCUCAAGCUUUACUGACUUCAAUUAUCUGUUUUUAAAGACGUAGAAGAUUUAUUUAAUUUGAUAUGUUCUUGUACUGCAUUUUGAUCAGUUGAGCUUUUAAAAUAUUAUUUAUAGACAAUAGAAGUAUUUCUGAACAUAUCAAAUAUAAAUUUUUUUAAAGAUCUAACUGUGAAAACAUACAUACCUGUACAUAUUUAGAUAUAAGCUGCUAUAUGUUGAAUGGACCCUUUUGCUUUUCUGAUUUUUAGUUCUGACAUGUAUAUAUUGCUUCAGUAGAGCCACAAUAUGUAUCUUUGCUGUAAAGUGCAAGGAAAUUUUAAAUUCUGGGACACUGAGUUAGAUGGUAAAUACUGACUUACGAAAGUUGAAUUGGGUGAGGCGGGCAAAUCACCUGAGGUCAGCAGUUUGAGACUAGCCUGGCAAACAUGAUGAAACCCUGUCUCU
rnacentral:lncRNA from 1 species